rnacentral:rRNA from 1 species
CCUACGGGAGGCAGCAGUGAGGAAUAUUGGUCAAUGGCCGGGAGGCCGAACCAGCCAAGUCGCGUGAGGGAAGACGGUCCAACGGGUUGUAAACCUCUUUUGUCAGGGAGCAAGGUGCAGGUCGGGACCUGCUGUGAGAGUACCUGAAGAAAAAGCAUCGGCUAACUCCGUGCCAGCAGCCGCGGUAAUACGGAGGAUGCGAGCGUUAUCCGGAUUUAUUGGGUUUAAAGGGUGCGCAGGCGGAGGCACAAGUCAGCGGUAAAAUCGCGGGGCUCAACCCCGCGCCGCCGUUGAAACUGGGUGCCUUGAGUGCGCGAAGGGUAGGCGGAAUGCGUGGUGUAGCGGUGAAAUGCAUAGAUAUCGCGCAGAACUCCGAUCGCGAAGGCAGCCUACCGGCGCGCAACUGACGCUCAGGCACGAAAGCGUGGGUAUCGAACAGGAUUAGAUACCCGAGUAGUC